GGGGGACAGGACACUUUCCUUACUUUGAUGACAUAGUCAGAUCCUUGGGGCCGUGUGCCUGGCGUUUGAAAAUUUCCUGGCGGAUGAAAACCAUGAGCGCCAUACAUCACCAAGAAUCAAAGGUUGUGACUGGCAGUGUGAGGUAACUCUGUAGCGAAGAGAACAGCUUUGGACUGUGAGUGGACAGCACGAUGACCAGUGUUCCCGAGCACACCUGCAGAAGCGCACGCUCUUCACACACACGUGUCCAGUGCACGUGCAUACGGCCCAGUGCUAGAUGGACUUGAAAGUGGGUUGACCGUGCCCUGGUAUGACAUUCUCCCAGGACUCUGAUGCUCUGAGUUUGGAUGGUGCUCCUGGCACUGUCGGCCGAGCCACUGAGAUCACAGCUAAGACAUGGUUCCUUCUCCGUGAAAGAUUUUCAUCGCCAGGAAGAACAUUAUUUUGACUAUUUCUGGUUCCUGAAAUUGAGCAUUUUUUUUUUUUUCAGGCACCAAUCCCGAAAGGCUUUAUGUGUCCUCUCUACCUCCGAUCAGGACUGUGCAAGAAGAAGACAGAAAAGUCCUGUGAAGAGGUCCCUGGUCCUGGGUCCUACUGCAGAACUUGCCCCGGGCAGUGGCCUCUGCCUGGGUUACCCAAGGUGGCUGAAACACACACCAUCGUGCAUCUGGCCAAUUAUGCAAAGCUCUAUCACAAGAGGAAAUUCCUUCUUCACCCCAGCUGGUGAACAGCUAUGCCUUGGAGCCCAGGACGGACAUGCCUUGUAACUUUUUAACCUAGUUAGUGUAACUGCCAAUAUAAUUCCUAUUCAUAUAAAUGUCUAAUCCUUUCUUGAAUCUCGCUGGACUAUUUGCCUCAAUAAUAUCCUGCGGCAGUGAAUUCCACAGGUAGAUUACACGCUGUUUUAAAAAGCACUCCAUUUUAUUCGUUUACAGUUUGUUACCUUUUAACAUCACAAGAUGGCCGUUGAUUUUGCUUUAAGUUGGCACAGGGAGCAGGCAUUUCAAACGGAGCUUUAAUUCUGCUAAGCACUGGCCACAAUGAAAACCCCAUCUUCUCCCUGUAUUUUCUAUUUGGCCUAUUUAAUCUUGGUUCCAUAAGAUGAUCGGUGUGUAAACACAUGGAAGGCACUGGAAUGGAGAAAGCGCUCCUGAACGAACAGUCACUGAGCACCUACUGUGUGCAGGAGCUGCUCUAAGCAUUGGAGAGCGAGCUUUCCAUGAGACAGGCUCGUAAAAUUAGGUUCUCAAGGACCUAAUUUUCUAGAGAGAGAAGGCAUACAAUAAAAUAGGCAGUGAAUACAAAUAUGAAGGACAUGGUGUCAGGUGGUCUCAAGGAAUAUGGGAGAAUCGGUCACGAGUGUCGGGAAAAGGAUGGCAGGGGCGACUUCAGAUUGCACGGUCAGGGAGUGGCUCUCUGAAAAGGGGACAGUUGAGACCGGCCACCAAGGAGCCAUCGACGUGAACUCUCCAGGAAGAUGAACUCCAGCCCAGAGAAACUGCCUGGCACUAGUCGAGACGCCAUCGUCAUUUGUGGAGUGAAUGAAUGACUCAAGGUUGAGAAGGGAAAUCCUAGCAACAGAAAUCAUUUAGCUCCUGAUGUAGCUGUGGGCUGCAGGCCCCCUGGACUGCCCGCCCGAGGAAGCAAGUCCUGACCCCUGCGGCGGAUGGCUGGACAGCUAUGACAGGACACAAAGGAGGCCAGCACAACAGCGCUUUCCAGGGUGACGCUGCCUAACUGAAGACUUCUACUGAAGAAAGUCCAGCUAACUACAUUUAAGCAUUCACUUCUCAAAGACCCAGAUUAAUAGGCCACUGAGCCUGGAAAAGGUUUUCCAGCUGGCAGGUGUUUGGAGGACUGAGACCUGCUUCUUUCCUGGGUGCCUCUCACGGGAACAAUUAGAAUCAGACGAGAUUGGUGCGUCUCUCCUGGAUUCAUAGUAAGCAAGCGGAGUCCAGGCGCCCAGAAUUCUUCCCCAUGUUGACUCCUCCUAGAAGGUGGAACCAUCCUAAGUCUAAAGAGGAAUCACCGUCACUCAGAAAACUUCUAUCAGCUUCUUUCUGGGGCUGUGUGAACGUAAGACUCAUCUCAGUAACGUGUUAUGAGAAAAUUCAUGCCUCACCACAAAGAAACAGCUGUGUAUUGCCGCAGUCACUAACUUUUGAAAGAUGUUAAAGGAAGGUAUUUAUUUCACGCCAGUCACUUCAGCUCCAGCUUCCCCUUCAAGUUUUAAUAUCAUGGUGUCUCCUGCUGGUCCUGUAAGUGCUACCUUGUUUCUCUGAUGAGCGUGGGGAAAACCAGGCCCGGUAAUUUACGGCUCCUAUUAAGAGGGUUGGCUGGACGAGCGGACAAUACGUCAAUAAUUAUUUCUGGUGCGGCUCUCACGGCGGAGGAAGUGCAGUAGAAUGGCUUAUUUUAACGGAAGACAGAUACGCCUGACCUGGGUUUUAUGACAGAUGUCAAGUAUAUCGAAUGUGUUGUGAAGCAGAUCGCCUUAUUGGCAAAGAAAUGAAAGACCUCCAGGAAGAUGGAUGGGAAGCUUUCCUCAAGGGGUUUCCUGUCUCUUGGUGUAGGGAAGGCCGAGAACUUGAAGACGGGCCAGUGAGCAGGCAAGAGUGGAGACUGGGGUGAGCAGUCCAAACUCCUGCCUGUCCCCGAGACUUGGAAACAAAA